UGUGGGAGCGAGCCUGCUCGCGAUAGCGGUGUGUCAGUCACUUCUAAUCUGGCUGAUCUACCGCUAUCGCGAGCAGGCUCGCUCCCACA
rnacentral:misc_RNA from 1 species